UCCCUGGUGGCCAAGUGGUUAAGGAGUCAGCAUUAUCACUGCUGUGGCUCGGGUUCGAUCCCUGGCCUGGGAA
rnacentral:tRNA from 1 species